AACGAACGCUGGCGGCAGGCCUAACACAUGCAAGUCGAGCGCCCCAGCGAUGGGGAGCGGCGGACGGGUGAGUAACGCGUGGGAACGUGCCUCUUGCUACGGAAUAGCCUCGGGAAACUGGGAUUAAUACCGUAUGUGCCCUACGGGGGAAAGAUUUAUCGGCAAGAGAUCGGCCCGCGUUGGAUUAGGUAGUUGGUGGGGUAAUGGCCUACCAAGCCGACGAUCUAUAGCUGGUUUGAGAGGAUGAUCAGCCACACUGGGACUGAGACACGGUCCAGACUCCUACGGGAGGCAGCAGUGGGGAAUCUUAGACAAUGGGCGCAAGCCUGAUCUAGCCAUGCCGCGUGAGCGAUGAAGGCCUUAGGGUUGUAAAGCUCUUUCAGUGGGGAAGAUAAUGACUGUACCCACAGAAGAAGCCCCGGCUAACUCCGUGCCAGCAGCCGCGGUAAU
rnacentral:rRNA from 1 species